rnacentral:rRNA from 1 species
UACAGGGGGUGCAAACGUUGCUCGGAAUUAUUGGGCGUAAAGCGCGCGUAGGCGGCUACUUAAGUCGGAUGUGAAAGCCCCUGGCUCAACUGGGGAAGUGCACCCGAAACUGAGUAGCUUGAGUGCAAAAGAGGGCCGCGGAAUUCCCGGUGUAGAGGUGAAAUUCGUAGAUAUCGGGAGGAACACCGGUGGCGAAGGCGGCGGCCUGGGUUGACACUGACGCUGAGGCGCGAAAGCCAGGGGAGCGAACGGG